AGCGGUUGUCAAAUUGUGGUUCCUUAAUAGCGUUUCCAGUAGAAUCCAUUUCAUCAGAUUAGGAGGCAUCCGAGGGUCGGCAGGACCAUGUUAGGCACCACAAAACAAUACUACUGUAGGCAACAUGGAUUGCAGAGAGCUAGACAGACACCUUGGAAGCAAUCACCAUGCUCAAAGUAGUGUGUCCUGCACACUAGAGUUUAAAUUGCCAACAGCAGCAACUACCAAAAAAUCCAAACUUGUGCCCAUCCUAAAGCCCUCUUCGCACCUACCAAAUGCAACAGCAAAUUUAUCGUGUGCUUAAGCUUAAAGUUGUAAUGUUUGUUCAAAGAAAGACUCUUCCCAAGAACAAUGUUUUACACACUUAAAGAUGUGAUCUAACUUCGUUCAGACCUUGGAUUUACUUAAUUUUUUUAGAAACUGCCUAAGAAAAAAGUCUCCAUUCUAACAGAUUUUCCUUUGGAGCAUGCAGAAACUAUUCCCCUGCCACAUGCCCCCAGCAGAACAGCCAGCUAACUGAAAGCGAAUAAUUAGAAUCUAUUAGAGAAGCUAAUGGCAACAUUCUUCUUCAUAGAGUUAGCAGAAUGAACUUAAACUACGUAUUUACCUUGCAUACUUUGAUUAGGGAGACCAAUUGUUUGACCUCUUUUCAGCCGGUAUAUCGAUCUCUUAAAUUUCUCGUUUAUAUGUCGUGGAGCGCACCAGGGUUAGCUUACAUCCUUGAACCAAGAACCAUCUCUUGGCUGACCUAGUUCUAGUCUGUUGACAAACGUGAUAAAGACAAACAGAAAAAGUACUAAGGAGACAGAGGGAGUAUUUUAUAUGUCAACUCACUUUUUAGUGGAGGCUUUCUAUGAUUGGAAAUACUCUUAGAAUAAUAAAAAUUUUGUAUAUUUUCUUAGAACUUUCACUUUUGUCGCUGUACGUCAAUUAGAAUUUUAGUGGAGAGUUUCAAACGAAGAUGCUCUGAGAGCAUCUCCGACCCUUGAAAUCUCUUGGCUAAAAAUGAGUUGGCAUACUUAAAAUAAAAAUAUUUAGGCAACAGUUCGAAAAACUCAACUUCAACCAUGCUCAGCCGUUGUCUAUAAAUUUAGCCAACCUCCCAUGGAUGACUAAAUUUGUCGAGGAAAUCUGUAGGAAGAUUGCACAUCAUUUAUUACUAUAUUGAACUGAUAUAUUCUAUUUUAACAAUCUAAAAUAUUAAUAACAUACUAUAUUUAAAUUAUAACCAACCAAUAUAAUCAAUACCAUUGAAGCAAAAUGUCUUACAGGUUCAGCAAAUUUUACAUAAUAUCUUGCAGGUCCUAUUUAGCCAACGAUUAUAGCCAACGCCAUUGGAGAUGCUCUAACCAUCCACGUUACGACUCCAUUUGGAUUAUACAUGAAAUUCAUUAUUAUUAUUUAAUUUAUACUUAAUCAAAUAUAGAAUAUAACAGUUGUCAUUUUAUAUUCAGUUUGAUAUUUUUAGCAUUUUCUUUUAUUUUAAGGGAUUUUCCUUAAUUGAGAGAUAUUUUCCUUUUCAGUUAAAGAGACGGCGAAAAUUUUGAACAGUUUCCUUGUAGAAAUUUUAGGAUACCCCGAAAUUAAGAAUCAAAAAAAAUAUAUAUAUAUCCUUAACGGCUAAAUAAGAACUUGCGGUUUACAAGAAAGAAAUCCGGGAUUGUACCACAAGCCCGAUCCAGAAUCCUUAUUCAAGAUAUUUGCCCAAAAUUCAAUCAUAUUAGUACUGUCUUCUUGAUUGUAUUUCUCAAAUCUGAGGGUGUUCUUGUGAGCAAUUAAGCAUGAAUAAUGCUGUACCGCAUAAAUCGAUGAAAGAAACUGACCCAUGCCCGAACGGUAGAGAGCUUUCACUUGUGUCUAGAAGUUUGAAAGAGAGCUUUCUUGUGUCACAUUCAGAUACACUACUUGCUUUUCCUGCACGCAAGGUUUUUCCAUCUCUUUAAUUCCUCCUUCUCAUCAUUCAUUGUGCUAUAAUAAUUUCUACUUAUCUUCUUUUGAGUUGAUUGAAAUUAUAAGUUAUUACUGGGAUCUUGAUUGCAAGGGAAGUUCUUUUCUAAAAUUUAUUUAAAUACAUUCACCCCGUUCUGAUUAUUUAUUUUUUCCUUGAAGCAUUACUUACGCAUACACAAGCUCAGCGGAAAUAAGUAUUUUUUUAGAGCUCAGAUGGUGCUCUUCAUGGGCGAGCCUUGUCUCCCGUCACGGCUUCUCCUUUCUCCUUCUCCUUUGUAAGUUAUAAUUGGUCCUGAUUUUUCCUAUAUAUACUUGAAUUUGUAUUAUGAGUUUUAGGACACAUACUGUUUCUAGAUUAUUGUUCUUAUCAUGCUAGCAUUUAUCUGUUAACUUACGAUUUUAUGUCCUAUUUUUUGUUGUAAUCCUGAACAAUGACUUCAGGAUAAGGGAAAACGGAAUUGUCAAUAGUAAACCAUUUGAAAGCUAGCUUUAUUAAUCUAGUUAAUCUAGUUAUCACUUAUUUUUGAGUUAAAAAAAUAAAUAAUAUAUUACAUGUAUGUAUAAACUCCCAUUUGGUACCCUUGGAGUACCUUCGCUUUAUUUGCUGCAGAUAUGUACUAAUGUCAACCAAAUUUCUUUUAGGGGAAUUAAAAUAAAUUUAUAAUGUAAAGGUUCUAAUCCCAGCCUGCACAAAAUAUAGAAGUAGGAAUGAUGUAACAAACAAUGUAUAUACACACAUAUUGACUGAAACAAAUGCUAUAUAAGCUAAUUGACAUAAUUUACAUGAUCCGGUGAAGAGCGAGAAUCAGAACAAAACAAUGAACAUAGUAUUCUAGGUUGUAGUAGAAACAAUAUUAACAAAGUGUAGCAUAGAAAACAAAGUUGAGAAUAGGGGAUUCUUUAAGCGGUUGUCAAAUUGUGGUUCCUUAAUAGCGUUUCCAGUAGAAUCCAUUUCAUCAGAUUAGGAGGCAUCCGAGGGUCGGCAGGACCAUGUUAGGCACCACAAAACAAUACUACUGUAGGCAACAUGGAUUGCAGAGAGCUAGACAGACACCUUGGAAGCAAUCACCAUGCUCAAAGUAGUGUGUCCUGCACACUAGAGUUUAAAUUGCCAACAGCAGCAACUACCAAAAAAUCCAAACUUGUGCCCAUCCUAAAGCCCUCUUCGCACCUACCAAAUGCAACAGCAAAUUUAUCGUGUGCUUAAGCUUAAAGUUGUAAUGUUUGUUCAAAGAAAGACUCUUCCCAAGAACAAUGUUUUACACACUUAAAGAUGUGAUCUAACUUCGUUCAG
rnacentral:lncRNA from 1 species